rnacentral:rRNA from 1 species
AGUGAACGCUGGCGGUAGGCCUAACACAUGCAAGUCGAACUGCAGCACAGUAAGAGCUUGCUAUUACGGGUGGCGAGUGGAGGAAGGGUGCGGACUACUACGGACUCUACUUUUUAGUGGGGGCUAACGUCGGGAAACUUAAGCUAAUACCGUAUACGACUUAUGGGUGCAAUCUGGGGAUCUUCGGACCUUUCCCUCUUGUAUGCGCCUUUGUCGGGUUAGGUAUCUGCCGGGGUAAAGUACCACGCAGGCGACGGUGCGUAGCUGGUCUGAGAGGAUGAGUAGCCACACUGGAACGGAGACACGGUCCAGACUCCUACGGGAGGCAGCAGUGGGGAAUAUUGGACAAUGGGCGCAAACCUGAGCCAGCCAUACCGCGUGGGUGAAGAAGGACUUCGGGUUGUAAAGCGAUUUUGUUGGGAAAGAAAAGCAGUAGGUUAAGAGCCCACUAUUCUGACGGUACCCAAAGAAUAAGCACCGGCUAACUUCGUG